CGUGCCUAACACAUGCAAGUCGAACGAUUCUUUGAUUAUAGCAAUAUUAUUAAAGAGGAGUGGCGAACGGGUGAGUAACACGUAGAUAAUCUGCCUUUCAGACGGGGACAACUCAGGGAAACUUGUGCUAAUACCCGAUGAGACCACAAGAAGGGAUUUUUUGUGGCCAAAGGCGGGCAGCAAUGCUCGUGCUGAAAGAUGAGUCUGCGUCCUAUCAGCUAGUUGGUGGGGUAAAUGCCUACCAAGGCUAAGACGGGUAGCCGGCCUGAGAGGGUGAACGGCCACACUGGGACUGAGACACGGCCCAGACUCCUACGGGAGGCAGCAGUGAGGAAUUUUCCGCAAUGGGCGCAAGCCUGACGGAGCGACGCCGCGUGAGGGAUGACAGCUUUCGGGUUGUAAACCUCUUUUAUUAAGGAAAAAGAUCUAUAUGCUAAUAUCAUGUAGAUUUGAUGGUACUUAUUGAAUAAGCCCCGGCUAACUACGUGCCAGCCGCCGC
rnacentral:rRNA from 1 species